rnacentral:rRNA from 1 species
UACGUAGGGGGCGAGCGUUUGUCCGGAUUUAUUGGGCGUAAAGAGCGCGCAGGCGGUCGAUCAAGUCGAGUGUGAAAGCCCCCGGCUCAACUGGGGAGGGUCAUUCGAUACUGAUCGACUCGAAGGCAGGAGAGGGUAGUGGAAUUCCCGGUGUAGUGGUGAAAUGCGUAGAUAUCGGGAGGAACACCAGUGGCGAAGGCGACUACCUGGCCUGUUCUUGACGCUGAGGCGCGAAAGCUAGGGGAGCAAACGGGG